rnacentral:rRNA from 1 species
GAUGAGCGUUGGCGGUGUGCCUAAUACAUGCAAGUCGAACGGAGAUCAUAAAGUAGUAAUACCUUGUGAUUCUUAGUGGCGAACGGGUGAGUAACGCGUUGGUGACCUGCCCCGAAGUGUGGAAUAACAAUUCGAAAGAAUUGCUAAUACCGCAUGUGAUUUUAGAGACUAGAUGCUCUUUAAUUACAGGAUUUAUUCGCUUCGGGAGGGGCCUGCGUCCCAUCAGCUAGUUGGUAAGGUAAUGGCUUACCAAGGCUAUGACGGGUAGGGGACCUGAGAGGGUGGCCCCCCACAAUGGAACUGAAACACGGUCCAUACACCUACGGGUGGCAGCAGUAGGGAAUAUUAGUAAUGGGCGAAAGCCUGAACUAGCAACACCGCGUGUGCGAAGAAGGCCUUCGGGUUGUAAAGCACUUUUCGGGAGGAUGAGGAAGGACGGUACUCCCGGAAUAAGUCUCGGCUAACUACGUGCCAGCAGCCGCCGUAACAC